UACGGAGGGUGCAAGCGUUAUCCGGAUUCACUGGGUUUAAAGGGUGCGUAGGUGGGCAGGUAAGUCAGUGGUGAAAUCUCCGGGCUUAACCCGGAAACUGCCGUUGAUACUAUCUGUCUUGAAUAUAGUGGAGGUGAGCGGAAUAUGUCAUGUAGCGGUGAAAUGCUUAGAUAUGACAUAGAACAUCGAUUGCGAAGGCAGCUCGCUACACUAUGAUUGACACUGAGGUACGAAAGCGUGGGGAUCAAACAGG
rnacentral:rRNA from 1 species